AUUGAACGCUGGCGGCAGGCCUAACACAUGCAAGUCGAGCGAGCGGCGGACGGGUGAGUAAUGUCUGGGGAACUGCCCGAUAGAGGGGGAUAACUACUGGAAACGGUGGCUAAUACCGCAUACUCUCGGAUGUGCCCAUAUGGGAGUAGCUAGUGGUUGUGGUAAUGGCUGACCUAGGCGACGAUCCCUAGCUGGUCUGAGAGGAUGACCAGCCACACUGGGACUGAGACACGGCCCAGACUCCUACGGGAGGCAGCAGUGGGGAAUAUUGCACAAUGGGCGCAAGCCUGAUGCAGCCAUGCCGCGUGUAUGAAGAAGGCCUUAGGGUUGUAAAGUACUUUCAGUGGGGAGGCGUUACCGGCAGAAGAAGCACCGGCUAACUCCGUGCCAGCAGCCGCGGUAAUAC
rnacentral:rRNA from 1 species